rnacentral:rRNA from 1 species
GGACUACACGGGUUUCUAAUCCUGUUUGCUCCCCACGCUUUCGUGCCUGAACGUCGGUACUGGACCAGGAAGCCGCCUUCGCCACUGAUGUUCCUUCAGAUAUCUACGCAUUUCACUGCUACACCUGAAAUUCCGCUUCCCUCUUCCGUACCCUAGCUAUUCAGUCUCGAAUGCAAUUCCCAGGUUGAGCCCGGGGAUUUCACAUCCGACUUAGAUAACCGUCUGCGCACGCUUUACGCCCAGUAAUUCCGAUUAACGCUUGCACCCUCUGUAUUACCGCGGCUGCUGGCAC